CGAUUGACACGACUCUCGGCAAUGGAUAUCUCGGCUCUCGCAUCGAUGAAGAGCGCAGCGAAAUGCGAUAUGUCGUGCGAAUUGCAGAAUCCCGCGAACCAUCGAGUCUUUGAACGCAAGUUGCGCCCGAGGCCAACCGGCCAAGGGCACGUCCGCCUGGGCGUCAAG
rnacentral:rRNA from 1 species